GUGACAAGAAAUGUGUACAUGGAGAACAGGGAUCUGAAAGAGAGCCAUAUCCUUCUCUUUUACAGUGAAAUGUACAAAGAUCAGUUUUAAAACUGAAAACUCAAGUAAUAGUAUUAUAAGCAUGUCACAUAGGAAAUGAAGAGAUAGCAAAAGAACCAACUGAAGGAAUAGCACUUAAUUUGAAGGGAACUUGAUGAGGAGUAGGAAAUACACGGAAAAUCUUUCUUUCCAUGCCUGGAACAGACAUCUCUAAUUGACUACAGAGGUCCUUUCUGACAAGGCAGUGCUGGGCCUCAGAAUCCUUGGCAACAUGGUCACUAUGAGGAGCUGGCACCAAAUGAAUGGCGCUGAUUCUUGGAGUGAUACUUGUUUGCCUUGAUUGGACCAUAUGAUCUUUAUGAUUCCUCCCAAUUCUUUCUAUGACUAUGUGAAAAAAGGACCUAUUGAAUGUCUUGCAUAGGUGAGUGAUAUUCAUCAACAUUAUUUUAGUAGAAAAAUGGAGUAUAGAUUGGACAUGGAAGGAAUAGGACCUACAGAAAAUAGCCAGUGGGCAAUUGUAGUCAUUCAGGUAGUGAGAGUGGGUCCUGAGAAACAUUUUGAGGUUCAUCAAUAUGGCCUGAUGAUGUAGUCUUCUCCACUGUAAUAAAACAGCCACAUUCAUAAUCUUAUCCUAACUAUAAAAAUUUCUUUAGCCUUUAAAAAAGUUUAAAUAAAGGAAAACAAUGUUGGAAUCCGGAUUGCCUUGGCUAGUUGGAGGUACAGACCAACUGACCACAUUUACAUGAUUUGAUAUAUAUACAUGAUUUGAUCUGGUCCUUAAUGGACAUAGUCUGCCAUGGUGCCAUUCUGAAUCUCUCAACUUAUAAAGACAGUGAUGCACUCAGCCCUACCCUGAAGUGAAACCUCUAGUCUUCUAAAACUAAAUGGCUAAAUUAAUUCCCUAGCCAGGCUGAUAUCUGAUCCAAAUAAGACAUUUCUCUGGUCUUGGGCAAGAAAAAGAGAUUGAAAAACAUAGGGCAAAAAACUCUAUACUAGGUCUGAUGCAUUUGAAAACUGUUUUUUCCCUGUUACUUUUCUUCUUCUUUCUCUAUAGUUAGCAAAACAAUUUCCCCAAAUAUUUUUACUUUAAAAGAUGGCACUCAGUUUAAAAACCAGACAGAAGUUUGCAGCACUCACCUCUAAUUGAAGCCUUUUAUACAUGGCUUGAGUUUGAGUAAGUGAAUCUGAGGACACUUUCAAGAGCAUCUCCAUCUUUUUUAAAUUUCGAAUAUCUCGCUCCUUCUCUCUUUGCUUGUGAGAAAACUCAUCAUGGUAGUUCUGCUUGUCGAUGACAUUGUUUCGUAUAUUGAGAUCUAAGAUCCCUCUGUCCAGGUACAGGGAGAAAAUGAGAAUGAUC
rnacentral:lncRNA from 1 species